rnacentral:rRNA from 1 species
GAUGAACGCUGGCGGCGUGCCUAAUACAUGCAAGUCGAGCGAACAGACGAGGAGCUUGCUCCUCUGACGUUAGCGGCGGACGGGUGAGUAACACGUGGAUCACCUACCUAUAAGACUGGGAUAACUUCGGGAAACCGGAGCUAAUACCGGAUAAUAUAUUGAACCGCAUGGUUCAAUAGUGAAAGACGGUUUUGCUGUCCCUUAUAGAUGGAUCCGCGCCGCAUUAGCUAGUUGGUAAGGUAACGGCUUACCAAGGCGACGAUGCGUAGCCGACCUGAGAGGGUGAUCGGCCACACUGGAACUGAGACACGGUCCAGACUCCUACGGGAGGCAGCAGUAGGGAAUCUUCCGCAAUGGGCGAAAGCCUGACGGAGCAACGCCGCGUGAGUGAUGAAGGUCUUCGGAUCGUAAAACUCUGUUAUUAGGGAAGAACAAAUGUGUAAGUAACUAUGCACGUCUUGACGGUACCUAAUCAGAAAGCCACGGCUAACUACGUG